GACAGAGGGGGCAAGCGUUGCUCGGAAUUACUGGGCGUAAAGGGCUCGUAGGCGGCCAACUAAGUCGGAUGUGAAAUCCCCAGGCUUAACCUGGGAACUGCAUCUGAUACUGGAUGGCUUGAAUCCGGGAGAGGGAUGCAGAAUUCCAGGUGUAGCGGUGAAAUGCGUAGAUAUCUGGAGGAAUACCGGUGGCGAAGGCGGCAUCCUGGACCGGCAUUGACGCUGAUGAGCGAAAGCUAGGGGAGCAAACGGG
rnacentral:rRNA from 1 species